rnacentral:rRNA from 1 species
CCCUAUGGGGUGCAGCAGGCGCGAAACCUCCACAAUGCGCGAAAGCGUGAUGGGGUUAGCCCGAGUGCUGUCCGAAAAGGAUGGCUUUUCCUUGGUGUAAAAAUCCAUGGGAAUAAAGGGGGGGCAAGACUGGUGUCAGCCGCCGCGGUAAUACCAGCCCCCUGAGUGGUAAGGACGAUUAUUUGGCUUAAAGCGUCCGUAGCCGGCUUAGUGAGUCUUUUGUUAAAUCCAAUGAUUUAAUCAUUGAACUGCAAGAGAUACUACUAUGCUAGAGGACGGGAGAGGUCGACGGUAGUCCAAGGGUAGGGGUGAAAUCCUAUAAUCCUUGGAGGACCACCAGUGGCGAAGGCGGUCGACUAGAACGUGCCUGACGGUGAGGGACGAAAGCUGGGGGAGCGAACCGGAUUAGAUACCCGGGUAGUCCCAGCUGUAAACGAUGCGGGCUAGGUGUAGGGGCAGCUACGAGCUGCUCCUGUGCCGCAGAGAAAUUGUUAAGCCCGCCGCCUGGGGAGUACGAUCGCAAGAUUGAAACUUAAAGGAAUUGGCGGGGGAGCACCACAAGGGGUGAAGGCUGCGGUUUAAUUGGAGUCAACGCCGGGAACCUUACCGGGGCUGACAGCAGGGUGAAGGCCAGAUUGAAGCUCUUGCCAGACAAGCUGAGAAGAAGUGCAUGGCC